UAAUCCUGAAAGCCCAGGAUUUCCUAGCGAAACUGACGUUGUUAGUGUUGUACCAAAGAACACACCCAGAACAAUUAUUGUUCUGGGCUUUUUUUUG
rnacentral:sRNA from 1 species